rnacentral:rRNA from 1 species
AGUGAACGCUGGCGGUAGGCCUAACACAUGCAAGUCGAACGGCAGCACAGUAAGAGCUUGCUCUUACGGGUGGCGAGUGGCGGACGGGUGAGGAAUACAUCGGAAUCUACUUUUUCGUGGGGGAUAACGUAGGGAAACUUACGCUAAUACCGCAUACGACCUACGGGUGAAAGCAGGGGAUCUUCGGACCUUGCGCGAUUGAAUGAGCCGAUGUCGGAUUAGCUAGUUGGCGGGGUAAAGGCCCACCAAGGCGACGAUCCGUAGCCGGUCUGAGAGGAUGAUCAGCCACACUGGAACUGAGACACGGUCCAGACUCCUACGGGAGGCAGCAGUGGGGAAUAUUGGACAAUGGGCGCAAGCCUGAUCCAGCCAUACCGCGUGGGUGAAGAAGGCCUUCGGGCUGUAAAGCCCUUUUGUUGGGAAAGAAAAGCAGCAGGUUAAUACCCCGCUGUUCUGACGGUACCCAAAGAAUAAGCACCGGCUAACUUCGUG